rnacentral:rRNA from 1 species
AAUAGAUACCCUGGUAGUCCACGCCGUAAACGAUGUCGACUUGGAGGUUGUUCCCUUGAGGAGUGGCUUCCGGAGCUAACGCGUUAAGUCGACCGCCUGGGGAGUACGGCCGCAAGGUUAAAACUCAAAUGAAUUGACGGGGGGCCCGCACAAGCGGUGGAGCAUGUGGUUUAAUUCGAUGCAACGCGAAGAACCUUACCUACUCUUGACAUCCACGGAACUUUUCAGAGAUGAAUUGGUGCCUUCGGGAACCGUGAGACAGGUGCUGCAUGGCUGUCGUCAGCUCGUGUUGUGAAAUGUUGGGUUAAGUCCCGCAACGAGCGCAACCCUUAUCCUUUGUUGCCAGCGGUUAGGCCGGGAACUCAAAGGAGACUGCCAGUGAUAAACUGGAGGAAGGUGGGGAUGACGUCAAGUCAUCAUGGCCCUUACGAGUAGGGCUACACACGUGCUACAAUGGCGCAUACAAAGAGAAGCGACCUCGCGAGAGCAAGCGGACCUCAUAAAGUGCGUCGUAGUCCGGAUUGGAGU